rnacentral:rRNA from 1 species
UACGAGGGGGGCAAGCGUUGUUCGGAAUUAUUGGGCGUAAAGGGUGCGUAGGCGGUCUGAUAAGUCAUCUGUGAAAUCUAUGGGCUCAACCCAUAGUCUGCAGGCGAAACUGUCGGGCUUGAGUAUGGGAGAGGUGAGUGGAAUUUCCGGUGUAGCGAUGAAAUGCGUAGAUAUCGGGAGGAACACCUGUGGCGAAAGCGGCUCACUGGACCAUAACUGACGCUGAUGCACGAAAGCUGGGGGAGCAAACAGG